rnacentral:rRNA from 1 species
ACGCAGGGGGCGAGCGUUGUCCGGAUUCACUGGGCGUAAAGCGCGCGUAGGCGGCUCGUUAAGUCGGAUGUGAAAACCCGGGGCUCAACCCCGGGCCUGCACCCGAUACUGGCGGGCUGGAGGCAGGUAGGGGAGAUCGGAAUUCCCGGUGUAGCGGUGAAAUGCGCAGAUAUCGGGAGGAACACCGGUGGCGGAGGCGGAUCUCUGGGCCUGUCCUGACGCUCAGGCGCGAAAGCUAGGGGAGCAAACAGGA